rnacentral:tRNA from 1 species
GCUUUGUAUUUUUAAAAAAAUAAGUUGCAAACUUAGAAAAGGAGUUGUUCCCAGAGUA